GAUUGGUUGAAAAGCAUCAUUCAGAAGGAACCAAUAAAGAGAGAGGGGUUGAACUACCUAGAGAAAACCAUUUUAAAUCACAAUUUCAGAAGAUUUUAAAAAUUCAACUCUACCUAAAGACAUCAUAAAAUGGCUCAUUAUUCCAUCAUCCAGGUCAUAUCGUCUAAUAACAGAAAUCAGAGAGAAGUACCAGGAUCAUAAUUACAGAGAGAAGUUUGACCAAAUCCCUUUCUGUAAAAAUGUUAAAUAUAAAUAUAUGUCUUCUAUGUUUUUGUCCUAACCCUAAAUACUAAAUAUUUACUGGGAAGUCUCUUAAUCUGUGAAAGACUGCAUUCAUUUACAUUAAAUAAAAUAUGGGAAUUGCUCAAUUUUAAAUUCAGUAUUCCCUAUGAAAAACUAAACUUAGGAAAAGUAAAUUUUUUAUGAAUUUUGCCACAACUGCUCAUUUGGGGAAUAAAAAUCAGAACUCUGAAAUUUUAGCUUUAAAAACCAAUAUUGUCUUUGAAAGCUAAUGAUCAAGUGAUGAUUUUGUUUUCUAGCCAUUUAAUAAUAACCUUGGCUUUCUUUUUCGGGUUCAUAUGCCUUGCACAAUCUUUGACCAAAACCAAAAUUCUCACCUACUUUCUAUGUAAUAAAUCAUUAGGAAUUAUGAAAAAGAGGGAAAAGAAUUAACGUUAUCCAAGUUUAUAACUAUUGGAUGGGCAUUCUGCUAGAAUGCUUCUUAUGCUUUAUGCUUCUUAUCAUAUUAAUGCUCCAGUAUUAUAUACGAUAGAAAAUAAAAGUUAAUCUAGUAAUAUAUAAUGUUAAAUUCAACUAAAUUUGG
rnacentral:lncRNA from 1 species